rnacentral:tRNA from 1 species
GCGUUUAUAGCUCAGUUGGUUAGAGCACCACCUUGACAUGGUGGGGGUCGUUGGUUCGAGUCCAAACGAACGCA